rnacentral:rRNA from 1 species
GAUGAACGCUGGCGGCGUGCCUAACACAUGCAAGUCGAACGGAAAGGCCCUGCUCUUGUGGGGUGCUCGUGUGGCGAACGGGUGAGUAACACGUGUGUAACCUGCCCUUGACUUUGGGAUAACUUCAGGAAAAUGGGGAUAAUACCGGAUAGGAGCUCCUGCUGCAUGGGGGGGGUUGGAAAGUUUCGGCGGUUGGGGAUGGACUCGCGGCUUAUCAGCUGGUUGGUGGGGUAGUGGCUUACCAAGGCUUUGACGGGUAGCCGGCCUGAGAGGGUGACCGGCCACAAUGGGACUGAGAUACGGCCCAGACUCGUACGGGAGGCAGCAGUGGAGAGUAUUGCACAAUGGGCGGAAGCCUGAUGCAGCGACGCCGCGUGCGGGAUGACGGCCUUCGGGUUGUAAACCGCUUUCGCCUGUGACGAAGCGUGCGUGACGGUAAUGGGUAAAGAAGCACCGGCUAACUACGUG